AGGACGAACGCUGGCGGCGUGCUUAACACAUGCAAGUCGAGCGGAAAGGCCCUUCGGGGUACUCGAGCGGCGAACGGGUGAGUAACACGUGAGUAACCUGCCCCUAGCUCUGGGAUAGCUCCGGGAAACCGGGAUUAAUACCAGAUACGACCACUUUAGACAUCUGUCGUGGUGGAAAGGAUUCCGGCUAGGGAUGGGCUCGCGGCCUAUCAGCUUGUUGGUGGGGUAACGGCCUACCAAGGCGACGACGGUAGCCGGCCUGAGAGGGCGACCGGCCACACUGGGACUGAGACACGGCCCAGACUCCUACGGGAGGCAGCAGUGGGGAAUAUUGCGCAAUGGGCGAAAGCCUGACGCAGCGACGCCGCGUGGGGGAUGAAGGCCUUCGGGUUGUAAACCCCUUUCAGCAGGGACGAAGCGAAAGUGACGGUACCUGCAGAAGAAGCGCCGGCUAACUACGCGCCAGCCAGCCGC
rnacentral:rRNA from 1 species